CCAGUCCUCAGCACACCAUGUUCAUUGCUGUUUCCCUUGCACUUUGGGCAGGUUUAUCCUCUCAAGGCAUGUCAUCUGUACCAGCUGUGAAGCCCUCACCCAUCAGUGUUAGGAGCAGAGCCUGCCUGCAGUCCUCCAUCUCCUUAAGAGACAGCCUGAGCUGCAGCACCAUAUUCCUGCAUAAGCCAAGCUGCAUCCAGCUGCCCAGUGCUGGACAAACAGCCAUGAGGAAAUAACUGUGACCGAUUUCCUGUGGCACUGAGGAUGGUUUGGCUCUGCCCAUCUCAAGGAGCAGCAGCACAACAUGGUGAGGAACUUGGGGACCUGCCAGCUGAAGGGAACUGCCAGUCUCCAUCAGGCUCUUGGCAAACUCUUAAUGUGGUGAAAUCCUGCAGUCAAGAGCUGGGGGAAUAGAAGGUGAGUCACAAUCAGCCACAAGGGAAACCUUCAGAUUCCAAAUCACCAGACAGCAACUCCCUGAUUGCCCAAAGGAGUGGUCAGUGCAGACUGCAACAAUCAACACAUUCCCCACUUGCUUUUGCCAAGGGCUGAAAACCUGCCAAAAGCUGCUGCUGCAGCAGCCUCCAUCCCAAAUGCCCAGAUGCAGGCUCUAAACCAACAGUUUGAGCGGGUGAAAGGAUCCUUUCCUGGAAAGGAACAAAAGGGGAAGUCCUGCAGCUAUCUGAAUUUGUCAAGCCCUAUCAGUUUCAGCACCACCCAGGGAGCACAGCUUCAUAUGCAGAAUGAUCACUAAUGACUCAUGUUCACAGCCCAAUCCAGUUUGCUCCACCCCACACACCACCUUUGAAAACGUCUUUAUGCUUAAAGGAUGGUGUCAGUUAAGCAGCCACUGCAAAAAGUAACUCGGUUACAAGAAAAUCUCCAGUGUGAAUCUGGUUGCUAUUCUGCAAGACAACAUCAAGAAACCCUUUGGUGAGCCUAAGGCUGGAGCAUGUGAUGAACUGAAAAGAGUGGCUCCUGAAUUUGCUUAUACAGAUGCAUCUUUGGGAAAGCUUUUCCACGUGCAAUCUGGCAGCACUGCUGACUUUCAACCACUGCAGGAGUUCCAAUCUGAAGGCAAAAGCUUUCAAAGCAGUAUCUAAAUUCUUUCACAGAAUUUCCCAGCUGCAGUAAAUGAGUCUGUUCUUACAUUAGCUACAACGAACGGGAGCCAGUAUGAGCAGCUACAUUAAAGAGUGAAUGCUUGCAAAACAACCAGACUUCUGCCUGAGGAAUGUAACCAAAUUAUCUCCAUGCAGACUAAACAGGCUGAACAGGCAGUGUAGAGUCGGCAAUGACAGAGACCUGAGCUCUGGCACCAAUUCAAGUCACUGUGCACUGGUAGCCACCCAACCCCAUGGCUCGCCUGCCCCAGCAGUUAAA